GGAUUGUGGCUCAGGGGUAGAGCACUCGCCUCACACGUGGAGACCCUGGGUUCGAUCCUCUGCACCA
rnacentral:tRNA from 1 species